AUUGAACGCUGGCGGCAGGCUUAACACAUGCAAGUCGAGCGGGGUGAUGGUGCUUGCACUAUCACUUAGCGGCGGACGGGUGAGUAAUGCUUAGGAAUCUGCCUAUUAGUGGGGGACAACAUCCCGAAAGGGAUGCUAAUACCGCAUACGUCCUACGGGAGAAAGCAGGGGAUCACUAGUGACCUUGCGCUAAUAGAUGAGCCUAAGUCGGAUUAGCUAGUUGGUGGGGUAAGGCCUACCAAGGCGACGAUCUGUAGCGGGUCUGAGAGGAUGAUCCGCCACACUGGGACUGAGACACGGCCCAGACUCCUACGGGAGGCAGCAGUGGGGAAUAUUGGACAAUGGGGGGAACCCUGAUCCAACCAUGCCGCGUGUGUGAAGAAGGCCUUAUGGUUGUAAAGCACUUUAAGCGAGGAGGAGGCUCUUUUGGUUAACACCCAAGAUGAGUGGACGUUACUCGCAGAAUAAGCACCGGCUAACUCUGUGCCAGCAGCCGCCGUAA
rnacentral:rRNA from 1 species